UACGUAGGUGGCAAGCGUUAUCCGGAUUUACUGGGUGUAAAGGGCGUGUAGGCGGGAUUGCAAGUCAGGCGUGAAAACUAUGGGCUCAACCCAUAGCCUGCGUUUGAAACUGUAGUUCUUGAGUGCUGGAGAGGCAAUCGGAAUUCCGUGUGUAGCGGUGAAAUGCGUAGAUAUACGGAGGAACACCAGUGGCGAAGGCGGAUUGCUGGACAGUAACUGACGCUGAGGCGCGAAAGCGUGGGGAGCAAACAGG
rnacentral:rRNA from 1 species